rnacentral:lncRNA from 1 species
UAUGUAUAAGCUUAUACAUAUAAAUAUGUAUAAGCAUAUACAUAUGCUUAUAAGUAAAGAUAAGUAAAGCAUUGUGUUCAUCUCUUCUAAAUGGCCUUUAAUGACACUGAGUGUGUUUGGGGGUUUUUUUUACUAUAUUAUUGAAGAAGCCAGUCAUGAAGAAGAAAGCAGGAGUUUAUUUAAGACAGUGUACCUUUAAGAUGGACUCAGAAGUGUGUCACUAAAUUCCUUGCCCUUGAGCACAGCUGUACCUCAACCUUGUUGGAAUAAUUGUAGUCCUGAGGCCGCUUUCAUUCUGUUAUUAGUGAAUAUAAAGAUAGAUGUUUGUGUCACUUGCUCUGGUGAGUUGGUUUUGGUCUUGGUUGUUAUUCCACAGUUCGGCGGUCAGGCCUACAGCGACGUGGAACACACUUCAGUCCAGUGCCAUGCCUUAGAUGGAAUUGAGUGUGCCAGUCCUAGGACCUUUCUACGAGAAAAUAAACCUUGUAUAAAGUAUACCGGACACUACUUCAUAACCACUUUACUCUACUCCUUCUUCCUGGGA